rnacentral:tmRNA from 1 species
GGGGGCGUAACGGUUUCGACGGGAUGAUGAAACAGGGUUUCUGAUACAGGUCGGGACUGAGCUAAUCCCGUUAAAACUGGCUCAGCACAUGUAAGUGCGAACAACAUCGUUCCUUUCGCUCGCAAGCAAGCUGUCCUAGCUGCUUAAAAACUCAAUAUUUGAGUGCGAGUACUGUUUAGUGACCCCAUUAAGCUAAGCGGUUAACCCCAAUGGGUGCAGCAGGAUCCGUCAUGAGGUCGUGGAUCUUGCCUAAGACUCAGACCUCGUCGCCUGUCACUGGGCGUAUCAGUGAAUAUCUGUCUGGGAGACAACCAGACUAAACCUGUGAAUGAGGGAGCUCUUAGUAAUCAGGUCCGGACAGGGGUUCGACUCCCCUCGCCUCCAUCC